GUGGAACCGAAAAAUGUUAACUAUUGUUUGAUUUCUCAACACUCAAUUUAUGUUUCAAUGAUAUCACAUAUGCGAGUCAUAUAUGCAAUUUAUAUUUCAAUAAUGUCAUAUAUGCAAGUCAGAAUAACAUAGCUUCUGCAUCUGAUUUUAUCACCUAUGUUCAUAUUAAUUCUCAUUAACAUCUUUACACGAUUCCGACAAAUGGCUGAAAAAA
rnacentral:misc_RNA from 1 species